UGGGGAAUAUUGGACAAUGGGCGCAAGCCUGAUCCAGCCAUGCCGCGUGGGUAAAGAAGGCCUUCGGGUUGUAAAGCCCUUUUGUUGGGAAAGAAAAGCAGUCGGUUAAUACCCGAUUGUUCUGACGGUACCCAAAGAAUAAGCACCGGCUAACUUCGUGCCAGCAGCCGCGGUAAUACGAAGGGUGCAAGCGUUACUCGGAAUUACUGGGCGUAAAGCGUGCGUAGGUAGUGGUUUAAGUCUGUUGUGAAAGCCCUGGGCUCAACCUGGGAAUUGCAGUGGAUACUGGGUCACUAGAGUGUGGUAGAGGGUAGCGGAAUUCCCGGUGUAGCAGUGAAAUGCGUAGAGAUCGGGAGGAACAUCCGUGGCGAAGGCGGCUACCUGGACCAACACUGACACUGAGGCACGAAAGCGUGGGGAGCAAACAGGAUUAGAUACCCUGGUAGUCCACGCCCUAAACGAUGCGAACUGGAUGUUGGGUGCAAUUUGGCACGCAGUAUCGAAGCUAACGCGUUAAGUUCGCCGCCUGGGGAGUACGGUCGCAAGACUG
rnacentral:rRNA from 1 species